UUUCACAAAUAUAAUUGUUACGGCUUGUGCAUGAAAUGUCAUUCCACUUGCUUUGCACAGAGAAUUGAACACAAUCCUCACUGCCACCUGCGUUGAUACGACUGCUUGUGAUGCCAUCAAUACCUGUCAUGCAAUAAUAUAAUCAA